rnacentral:sRNA from 2 species
AUGGACCACGCGUACACGCCGGUUCCUGCGCGCCGUCCACACCACCUGAGACCUGCUCGCUACGUGUUGUUGGCC